rnacentral:rRNA from 1 species
CCUACGGGAGGCAGCAGUGGGGAAUAUUGCACAAUGGGGGAAAGCCUGAUGCAGCAACGCCGCGUGGGUGAAGAAGUAUUUCGGUAUGUAAAGCCCUAUCAGCAGGGAAGAGGAUGACGGUACCUUACUAAGAAGCCCCGGCUAACUACGUGCCAGCAGCCGCGGUGAUACGUAGGGGGCAAGCGUUAUCCGGAUUUACUGGGUGGAAAGGGAGCGGAGACGGUUGUGCAAGUCUGAAGUGAAAGCCCGCGGCUAAACUGCGGCACGGCUUUGGAAACUGUGUAACUGGAGUGCUGGAGAGGUAAGUGGAAUUCCUGGUGUAGCGGUGAAAUGCGUAGAGAUCAGGAGGAACACCGGCGGCGAAGGCGGCUUACUGGACAGUUACUGACGCUGAGGCGCGAAAGCGUGGGGAGCAAACAGGAUUAGAUACCCUAGUAGUC